rnacentral:rRNA from 1 species
UAGAAGCGACCCCGCGAGGGCAAGCCAACCACAGAAAAGCCAUCUCAGUUCGGAUUGUAGUCUGCAACCCGACUACAUGGAGCUGGAAUCGCUAGUAAUCGCGAAUCAGAAUGUCGCGGUGAAUACGUUCCCGGGUCUUGUACACACCGCCCGUCACACCAUGGGAGUCGGAUAUGCCCGAAGCCGGUGACCUAACCGCAAGGAAGGAGCCGUCGAAGGUGGAGCCGAUGACUGGGGUGAAGUCGUAACAAGGUACC